rnacentral:rRNA from 1 species
GUGGGGAAUUUUGGACAAUGGGCGAAAGCCUGAUCCAGCCAUGCCGCGUGCAGGAUGAAGGCCUUCGGGUUGUAAACUGCUUUUGUACGGAACGAAAAGACUCUGGUUAAUACCUGGGGUCCAUGACGGUACCGUAAGAAUAAGCACCGGCUAACUACGUGCCAGCAGCCGCGGUAAUACGUAGGGUGCAAGCGUUAAUCGGAAUUACUGGGCGUAAAGCGUGCGCAGGCGGUUAUAUAAGACAGAUGUGAAAUCCCCGAGCUCAACCUGGGACAUGAAUUUGUGACUGUAUAGAUAGAGUACGGUAGAGGGGGAUGGAAUUCCGCGUGUAGCAGUGAAAUGCGUAGAUAUGCGGAGGAACACCGAUGGCGAAGGCAAUCCCCUGGACCUGUACUGACGCUCAUGCACGAAAGCGUGGGGAGCAAACAGGAUUAGAAACCCUGGUAGUCC